GGGGAUGUAGCUCAGUGGUAGCGUGCAUGCUUUGGUUGUGUGAGGUCCUGGAUUCAAACCCCAGCAUCUCCA